GCUGCAGGAAAUUCAGAGCCACAGAGA
rnacentral:piRNA from 1 species